UUUUUUUUUUUUUUUUUUUAGAAAACGCUCAUUCUUUAAAAAGAUGUUAUGCUUUGGGCAGUUGUGUGGUCACCAUUCCUGUCAACUGCAUCCAUGAGGGGUGCCAGAGAGCACAGAGAGCACAGAAAGGCCAGGCACAUAACCAUUUCUAGAACACACGGUUGAAGCUCAGGUGCAAGGCCAGCGACUCCAUCUUCCUUAACUGCGGUCCCACCACCACGCAUUUCAGCCUUGACCUUGGCCUUCCUCCUACUCAUGGGAAGUCUGCUAUUGUCCCAGCUCCAUGGUGAGUUAUGACAACGUUCAGUGGAAGAAGAGGGCAUCUCAUUAAAGUUGUUCAUGCCCAGGUUAUGACUCCCUAGGGGACUAACGGGGCAAAGCUUAAUCCCACUGCGCGCCCCUCAUUAGAUACCCAAAUUCCAGACUGUGCUUAGGAGGAGGCGCCUCCGUAGACCUAUUCUCAUCAAAAGACUGCAGAACCAUUUUUAAGACCCAUGGGUGGAAUUAACUUGAUGCUAGAGCAUUUCUAGCCUUGGGAUUCCUGGGGAUUGGAAGAGCCAAAGGCAGAACAAGGAAGCAUCACAAUGAGUUGGAAGCUCCCAUUGUUUUCCUCUGAAAAAGACGCUUCUCAUCACCUUCUCCCAGUGCUCUUGCCCACACACCCACAUCACCCUGGUACUAAGGCGCUUCCAGUUCACAAGCGUUUCCCCUGCGGAUCCCGCAGGGGUGGGCGGGGGUCCCCUCUCCACCAAAGUCCUCUGCAGCCCUCCUGAUGCCUCAGCAGCUGGUACUUCUUCCUCUGGGCCUCUUUCCCCAGGGGAAGAGGAUUGGCCGUCUCACUGAGUUCACUGGAGGCAAACUUGACAUUCAGGCUAAUAUUUCUCUGACUGCAUGUCUUGUUUACGCAAUGCCACCGCGGAGGGGCCAGCCCCUGGCAUUUCUAUCCUGCGGUAUUUAUGGGCUGUCAUCACAGGAAGUCGGCACUUCCAAGCUCUCCCUCCAUCCCCACACAGGCAGGCCGGAAAUCCGUCGCUCUGGAGCCCAGCACGGGAGGCGGCUUGAACCAACUCAGAGUCUAGUUCACUCGGAAGUCGUCCAAGUAAAAGGUCAGCGUUUGAGCGCUUCACACCUCUGAGCCCAGACACCCUCCCUCCUGUGUUGUCCUAGAGCCUCGCCCAGCCUGCUGCCCGGGCAGCUGCUACGGGCUGCUCACCUGCGCUGCAUCAGGCCAUUUCCAAGCUGCUGGAACAGGUAGCUCAGGCUCUGGCUGCUGAGAACAGGCCUGGCGGGGAGCUACCCACCAGCUCCUCUCUUGCGGACCUCACUUCACCUGGGAUGGUUUUUGACCUUUCGAGGUUAGUGACUCCUGAGCAGUUAUAGACAGCUCUGUUAUUGUGGGUUCAGGCCUGAGGAUGGUUUAUCAUCUUGUAAUUCUGAGAAGAAAAGGGACAGGAGAAAGGUAGCUUUGAAUUAACUGUUUUGCCAUAACACACUUUUCAAAAUUAUUUAAGAAACAGAUUGUCACAACUCUCACAAGUUUUAUGUUUUGCAUGGUGUUUUGUUUCAAAUUUUUUUUAAAGCUGUAACGAUGUAGAUGUUUUCUAUGCUUGAAAAUACACGUUAUGGGGUCCCUGAUGGCUUAGCAGGUUAAGGAUCCGGCCUUGUCACUGCUGUGGCAUGGUUUCGAUCCCUGGCCCUGGAACUUCGCAAGCAGGGCCAAAAUAAUACUAAUAAUUAUACUACUACUAAUAACAAUAAUAAUACAUGUUACUUAAUAACAUUUUAUAAAUAUUUCGCUAACUUUCUAUACAAUCUUUAUAACAAUUUUAAUGUCUACCUAAUUCACCGAGUUGCCAUGUAUCACAGAUGAUGUAACGCGUACUUGUUGCAUUUUUAGAUUUUUGCUGAAGUGUUUAGUUAAGAAGAUGUCAGGGAGUGCAAUACUCUGCAGAGGGGGUGUGAGGGGUGACACAGAGAGGGGUUCUCGUUUCCAUUGCCAUGUAAGGGCAACGGGCACCUUGGGGAUGGUUGAAGCGGCUGCCACCAAUCUGCAAGCUCACCCAACUCCCAGGACCCUGUCCUUCCCAGCACAAUGCAGUCGCGUGUGCACCCACACAGACGCGCACACAGACACCCACCGAACACCAGAGGGGCCUUCCCCCCUCUCUGCCCGGCUCCUGGGUCCACUCCAUGGACCACCUGCAUGCCACCCCCCAGGCAUGUCUGAUCUCUGGGUCCCAGGUCCUCUCAUGGGCCCAUCCUGCCUCUGAAAGAAUCGCUCUCCCGUCGGAACUCAGAACAGACAUGCAGGGAGCUGUUGUGAAUGACGCGUUUGGCAGCUGCCAUUUUACAGCCUGUCUGAAAAGCGGCACGGGCGUCCCACUCUCAGUCAUUUGGGUCCUCCGUGGAUCACCUCCAAAGUCACACCUCUCCAGGUCUCCACGGUGCCCGGGCCUGUACUCAGGUCUAGGAUGUAAUGAUGUCUCUGGGUUUGAGACGUCAGGACUGCACGAGCCAGGAGCCUCUUGCUGUUCUCAGCCAUCAGCUCUUGAACAUUUCUAAGCGGAUGAACAGGAGGUGAAACGUACAUGGUGUCCUCAUCCGUCUGCAAACCGAACGAAUGUGAUACAAUUAAUGAUUGUUCUGCUGUAUAGUAUUCAGCCAUGAAGAGUAAGCAGUAGAGUCUAGUUACAGUGAUAUACUGCUGAUGACUCAGAUAUAUAUUUGUAAAUGAGACCUGACCUCUGAUUCAUAAAACAAAAAA
rnacentral:lncRNA from 1 species